ensembl:lncRNA
UUUUCUAAUUUCUAAUCUUUCCAAUCUGUGUAGUUUGAAGAGCUUAAUUUAAGUUGAUUUAUUAAUGCAGAAGCUUUCUAUCCAUUUCAGACCUCCUUUAUAGUGUUAUGAAGUAAAAUGUUCUUGAAUUCAGGCAUUCUCAAAUUUUGUCAACAUUUAGAAUUACAUUAACAUAUAAAUCAGCUAAAAGCAACAAAACCUUACCUUUUCAUUGGGCCUUUUACAGUGUCAUGAAUUUCUGCACAACCAUUUGUUAGCACUUGAAUUUUCGUUUUGACAUUCAACAUUAAAUAGGUGCAAUAUUCAUCUGAAAACAUUAUGUGAAUCUCUUAUGGAUUAAAAAAAAACAUAUUUCAGUCAUCAAAAAGCUAAAAACACUUCUUGGUGUACUUUUUCUUUAGCGGGAUGCUUGUGUUGAAGAUGCAAAAAAAGCAAAAGGAAUCAACGUGAAAAAUGCCAGGGAAGUAGUUACAGACAAUUUUCUGUGCAGUGGUGGUAAUGAACCAAAAACAGAUGAUGUUGCCUGCAAAGGUGAUUCAGGUGGGGCCACUUAUGUGAAUAAAAAAGGUUGAGUGAUUCAGGUUGGUGUCGUAAGCUGGGGAGUGAAGGAUGUCUGCAGGGAAAAAAGGAGCUUCAUUUCGGAUGCAGACUCCAGAGAUUACCAUUCAAAUCUUUUCAGUGAAGAGAUACGCUCAUUCCUUAAAGACCACCUAGAAAAUGACCGCAUAGGACAACCUCUUACAUUCUUGUGAAUGCUUUAGCAGACUGAAACUGCAGUAUUAUAAAACACUGAUUUAUUUUCUGAUGAAUAUAUUCAACUUUAAUUCAAAUAGCUGGUCUUUGAUAAAAAUAAUAAAGCUGUUAAACAUUUAUUAUCAACGGCCUUUCAUGUUUUACUCAUUCAAUGUUAUGUUUUUGUUAUGUCUAUGUUGGAGCAGGACAGUCUGUACUGUGUAUCCAACCACUGGCAGGCAGGGGAGUUUCUUUAUUGUUGCAAUUUCACAACUUAUUUCCAUCUGUCUUGAGAAUGAUAAAAGGAAGAAGAAAAAAAAGCCUAACAGUAUGACACUAAACCUGCUGUUUUAGGGCUGAAGUAUAAUGGAGAGAAUAUGAAGAUUAUCAUACAUCAUACAUGAAAAAUGAGAGCUAUGGCAUUGAUCAGACAAGAACCAUUGUCAAGUUAACAUGAAUUCCAAACACACUUGUUAGGCUGAAUGUCCCAAAGUACAUAAGCCAUUCUGUGAAAUUUUCUUCUGAGCAAACAUGUGAGGGUGUUGAAAACAUCAUCUAUAAGCAUCUUAAAACUGUGUGUGAAACUGCGCACUUACAUUGUCUUGAUGAAACUUGAUUUUCCUGCUUUGUUCGCAGCUCCUGUAAAGUAUGUUUCUAAGCAGUAAGCAAGCUGAUUGUUACAGUGAAAUAUAAUUAUAGAAGAUAAAAUGGAAUGACAUUAAAUAGAAUGGGUUUGUGUGAGAAGAAUAAGAACAAAAUAAAACCUGUUACACAAGUACCCGUUACCCAUUACAAAAUUAGCACUGUUACCAUAAUUUUUUUUUUUUUUUUGGUAAAUUAAUUUGGUAAAUGCUACAAUUUUCUGCAUAUUGUUUAUGGUUGCAACAAAGGUUUCAUCAUGGUUUUGGUGGUUCACUGUUUAUUUCUCAAUGCAACAAUUUAAAAAACUGAAUUAAACACUGCAGUUUAUUUCUGGAACAGCAACAAAAAGGACUGUAUAAAAAUAACAAAGACAAUAUUAAUGUCACAUUAUGGACUUGUGUUUCCUGCAUUUUCUGUUCUCUUGUUUAUUUUUGUUUCCAUCAGGAUACAUGAUUUCCAUGGAGACUACAAUGCUGGCUGUUCUGACUCAGUCCGUAAG